GCCUGUUGGGGUCAGACUCUGAAGCAUUUUGCAGCAGGGUUUUCUUUAAAUCUAUACACUUAACUGAGUGAUUGGUUAAUGAGUUAGCUGACUGGCUAGCAGUGAUUUCAGCAGAGGAAGAGUCUGCAUGGAUUCCAGCUGAAGAUUCCUAUAAGCAAGUGGAGAGAAGAUGUUGUUUUAGACUCAGCAGACUGUAUAGAUUUGGUGAUCAAAGACUCUAACUGAGACUGAGGCACAUGGGACUGAUUGUGACAGAUAUGGAAAUUCCCUGCAAUAUCUUUGGGAGAUCUUACUAUAUUAAAUCAAAUGGACAGGACCUUCUGUUCAAGGCGGGAAUCCAGUGCUUCCUGGUAGGGGCUGAAAGACCUUUGGCCUACUGAGGCCCAUAAGACUGAUGGAUGACCUCUGCUCCUGGCUGAUAUUUGACACUUCUGCAUUCUGUCAGGAUUGACUAGAUAAAGGCCUGAACAUCAACUCCCCAAGGAUACAAGUGUCAUCUCUAAGGACAUGGUCUUUAUACAGAAGA